AUGAUCUAAAACAUGAAAAAUUAAGCUCUAACAAAAUAAGGGGUAAAAAAUUAAAUGGAAGAAAGACAAAUGUAACACUUUUCCGGAUGAUUAAAUUACAUAACAUAAUUAAGUGAAAUGACAAAGAAAGGAAGAAGAGAGUUUCCAUCUCAUCACUUACCCAAAGUAUGCAAAUCAGUGAAAAUGCUGCUUUGAAUUCCUCCGACAAUUGCCUAAAAACUAAUUAUUAAAAGAGAAGUUUCUCAAAACAUGAAAAUGUAUUAGUUACUAACUAUGCUUGCUAAAAGGCCAACUUUGUGAAUAGAUAGCUUUCAACCUCCAUGAAGAUUUUCAACAUCCAUUUUCAUCAUUGCAAGCUCCGUAUGAAGUUUUAGAAUUUGUAUAGAUUUCUCUCCU
rnacentral:lncRNA from 1 species